GCCCCCGUAGCUCAGGGGAUAGAGCAGCGGACUUCUAAUCCGUCGGUCGCAGGUUCGAUUCCUGCCGGGGGCGCCG
rnacentral:tRNA from 1 species